AUUGAACGCUGGCGGCAGGCCUAACACAUGCAAGUCGAGCGGCAGCGGGAAAGUAGCUUGCUACUUUUGCCGGCGAGCGGCGGACGGGUGAGUAAUGCCUGGGGAUCUGCCCAGUCGAGGGGGAUAACUACUGGAAACGGUAGCUAAUACCGCAUACGCCCUACGGGGGAAAGCAGGGGACCUUCGGGCCUUGCGCGAUUGGAUGAACCCAGGUGGGAUUAGCUAGUUGGUGAGGUAAUGGCUCACCAAGGCGACGAUCCCUAGCUGGUCUGAGAGGAUGAUCAGCCACACUGGAACUGAGACACGGUCCAGACUCCUACGGGAGGCAGCAGUGGGGAAUAUUGCACAAUGGGGGAAACCCUGAUGCAGCCAUGCCGCGUGUGUGAAGAAGGCCUUCGGGUUGUAAAGCACUUUCAGCGAGGAGGAAAGGU
rnacentral:rRNA from 2 species